rnacentral:rRNA from 1 species
GAUGAACGCUGGCGGCGUGCCUAAUACAUGCAAGUCGAGCGAACGGACGAGAAGCUUGCUUCUCUGAUGUUAGCGGCGGACGGGUGAGUAACACGUGGAUAACCUACCUAUAAGACUGGGAUAACUUCGGGAAACCGGAGCUAAUACCGGAUAAUAUUUUGAACCGCAUGGUUCAAAAGUGAAAGACGGUCUUGCUGUCACUUAUAGAUGGAUCCGCGCUGCAUUAGCUAGUUGGUAAGGUAACGGCUUACCAAGGCAACGAUGCAUAGCCGACCUGAGAGGGUGAUCGGCCACACUGGAACUGAGACACGGUCCAGACUCCUACGGGAGGCAGCAGUAGGGAAUCUUCCGCAAUGGGCGAAAGCCUGACGGAGCAACGCCGCGUGAGUGAUGAAGGUCUUCGGAUCGUAAAACUCUGUUAUUAGGGAAGAACAUAUGUGUAAGUAACUGUGCACAUCUUGACGGUACCUAAUCAGAAAGCCACGGCUAACUACGUGCCAGCAGCCGCGGUAAUACGUAGGUGGCAAGCGUUAUCCGGAAUUAUUGGGCGUAAAGCGCGCGUAGGCGGUUUUUUAAGUCUGAUGUGAAAGCCCACGGCUCAACCGUGGAGGGUCAUUGGCAACUGGAAAACUUGAGUGCAGAAGAGGAAAGUGGAAUUCCAUGUGUAGCGGUGAAAUGCGCAGAGAUAUGGAGGAACACCAGUGGCGAAGGCGACUUUCUGGUCUGUAACUGACGCUGAUGUGCGAAAGCGUGGGGAUCAAACAGGAUUAGAUACCCUGGUAGUCCACGCCGUAAACGAUGAGUGCUAAGUGUUAGGGGGUUUCCGCCCCUUAGUGCUGCAGCUAACGCAUUAAGCACUCCGCCUGGGGAGUACGACCGCAAGGUUGAAACUCAAAGGAAUUGACGGGGACCCGCACAAGCGGUGGAGCAUGUGGUUUAAUUCGAAGCAACGCGAAGAACCUUACCAAAUCUUGACAUCCUUUGACAACUCUAGAGAUAGAGCCUUCCCCUUCGGGGGACAAAGUGACAGGUGGUGCAUGGUUGUCGUCAGCUCGUGUCGUGAGAUGUUGGGUUAAGUCCCGCAACGAGCGCAACCCUUAAGCUUAGUUGCCAUCAUUAAGUUGGGCACUCUAAGUUGACUGCCGGUGACAAACCGGAGGAAGGUGGGGAUGACGUCAAAUCAUCAUGCCCCUUAUGAUUUGGGCUACACACGUGCUACAAUGGACAAUACAAAGGGCAGCGAAACCGCGAGGUCAAGCAAAUCCCAUAAAGUUGUUCUCAGUUCGGAUUGUAGUCUGCAACUCGACUACAUGAAGCUGGAAUCGCUAGUAAUCGUAGAUCAGCAUGCUACGGUGAAUACGUUCCCGGGUCU